AUUCUGAAGGAUACUCUUCGGACAAUAUACAAGGUGCUGCAUGGUUGUCGUCAGCUCGUGCCGUGAGGUGUCGGGUUAAGUCCCAUAACGAGCGCAACCCCUACCUUUAGUUGCCAUCAGGUUAAGCUGGGGACUCUAAAGGAACUGCCUACGCAAGUAGUGAGGAAGGCGGGGAUGACGUCAAAUCAGCACGGCCCUUACGUCCAGGGCUACACACGUGCUACAAUGGCCGAUACAGAGGGCAGCUACCUGGUGACAGGAUGCAAAUCUCCAAAGUCGGUCUCAGUUCGGAUCGGAGUCUGCAACCCGACUCCGUGAAGUUGGAUUCGCUAGUAAUCGCGCAUCAGCCAUGGCGCGGUGAAUACGUUCCCGGGCCUU
rnacentral:rRNA from 1 species